AAUGCUUCUCUACCUUUUGGCUAAGAUCGAGUGUAGUAUCUGUUCUUACUAUUUUAAUUAUACCCACUGAAAUUAGUUUUUAAGAAGAGCAGUGAAAGUCAUUUUCUGAGGCUAUCAAAAGCCACU
ensembl:snRNA U2 U2 spliceosomal RNA